GGACUACUGGGGUAUCUAAUCCCAUUUGCUCCCCCGGCUUUCGUUCCUCAGCGUCAGUUUAAGCCCAGCAAUCCGCUUACGCCACCGGUGUUCUUCCCAAUAUCUACGCAUUUCACCGCUACACUGGGAAUUCCGAUUGCCUCUACUUAACUCCAGUCUCACAGUAUCCAGUGCGAUCCCGAGGUUGAGCCCCGGUCUUUAACACCAGACUUAUGAAACCACCUACGAACUCUUUACGCCCAAUAAAUCCGGACAACGCUCGCAUCCUACGUCUUACCGCGGCGGCUGGCAC
rnacentral:rRNA from 1 species